rnacentral:rRNA from 1 species
GUUAAACAUAAAGAGCGUAGGGUGAAUGCCUAGGCACUGAGAGCCGAUGAAAGACGUAACAAGCUGCGAAAAGCUACGGGGAGGAGCAAAUAUCCAUUGAUCCGUAGAUGUCUGAAUGGGGAAACCCACUUAAGAAGACCUUAAGUAUCUGUAUGUAAAUACAUAGCAUACAGAGGGGAACCCGGUGAACUGAAACAUCUAAGUAGCCGGAGGAAAAGAAAGAAAAAUCGAUUCUGCGAGUAGCGGCGAGCGAAAGUGGAAGAGCCUAAACCGUAGUGCGUGCAUUACGGGGUUAAGGACUGCGUUAAGUACUGAUGAGAUUACCGGAAUAGUUUUGGAAAAGCUAGCAAAAAAGCGUGAGAGCCGUGUACGGGAAAGUUAAGUCAGACAAGCAGAAUCCAAAGUACCACGAAACACGAGAAACUUUGUGGGAAGUCGGGGGGACCACCCUCCAAGGCUAAAUACUACUCAGUGAGCGAUAGAGAAUAGUACUGUGAAGGAAAGGUGAAAAGAACCCCGGGAGGGGAGUGAAAGAGAACCUGAAACCCUAUGUUUACAAACUGUGGAACACCGUCAAGGUGGACCGCGUACUUUUUGUAGAACGGUCCGGCGAGUUGCACUUACUGGCAAGGUUAAGCACUAAAGGUGUGAAGCCGAAGGGAAACCAAGUCUAAAGAGGGCGAAAGUCAGUGGGAGCAGACCCGAAACCGGGUGAUCUAUCCAUGUCCAGGUUGAAGUUUCCGUAAAAGGAAAUGGAGGACCGAACCCACAUCCGUUGAAAAGGGUGGGGAUGAGGUGUGGAUAGGGGAGAAAUUCCAAUCGAACCCGGAGAUAGCUGGUUCUCCUCGAAAUAGUUUUAGGACUAGCCUCGUAAGAGUCUUAUGGAGGUAGGGCACUGAAUUCCUGAGGGGGCGUCAAAGCCUACCAAUGGAUAUCAAACUGCGAAUGCCAUGAAGAUGAUUUACGGGAGUCAGACUACACGAGAUAAGUUGGGUAGUCGAAAGGGAAAGAGCCCAGACCUACAGCUAAGGUCCCAAAGUAUGUGUUAAGUGGAAAAGGAUGUGGGAUUUCAUAGACAACUAGGAUGUUGGCUUAGAAGCAGCCACACAUUCAAAGAGUGCGUAAUAGCUCACUAGUCGAGAGGUUCUGCGCCGAAAAUGUCCGGGGCUAAACACAACACCGAAGCUAAGGAAUUAGAAAUAAUUGGUAGAGGAGCAUCCUUACAAGCGUAGAAGUCAUACUGAAAAGGGUGAUGGAGAAGUAAGGAGAGAGAAUGCCGGAAUGAGUAGCGAGAAUAAGGUGAGAAUCCUUAUGGCCGAAUAUCCAAGGAUUCCAGGGUAAAGCUGAUCUGCCCUGGGUAAGUCGGGGCCUAAGGCGAGGCUGAAAAGCGUAGUCGAUGGACAGCAGGUGAAGAUUCCUGCACCUUAUAUAAUCAGAACUGUGGGGACACAGAAACGAAACCGAACCUAGGAAAGCAAAAACUAGGACAAGCGAGGUAUCAGUAUGAUAGGAAAAACCGUCAUGCAAUGAGAAGACGUAAUGUGGAGCGAACUAAAGUAGCGAAGUCGGGAAAGGAGCUGUCAAGAAAAGCCACUAUAGUAUUAUAUAAGCCCGUACCGUAAACCGACACAGGUGGAUGAGGAGAGAAUCCUAAGGCCGACGGAAGAAGUAUUGUUAAGGAACUCGGCAAAAUGACCCCGUAACUUCGGGAGAAGGGGUGCCUGCAUUAGCAGGUCGCAGAAAACAGGUCCAAGCAACUGUUUAACAAAAACACAGGUCUAUGCGAAACCGAAAGGUGAGGUAUAUGGGCUGACGCCUGCCCGGUGCCGGAAGGUUAAGAGGAGAAGUCAGGAAACGAAGCUUUGAACCUAAGCCCCGGUAAACGGCGGCCGUAACUAUAACGGUCCUAAGGUAGCGAAAUUCCUUGUCGGGUAAGUUCCGACCCGCACGAAAGGCGUAAUGAUUUGGACGCUGUCUCAACAAUACAUCCGGUGAAAUUGAAGUACCAGUGAAGAUGCUGGUUACCUGCGCCAGGACGGAAAGACCCCAUGGAGCUUUACUCUAGUUUGAUACUGGGGUUUGAUGAUGCAUGUACAGGAUAGGUGGGAGACUGCGAGGCGAGGACGCCAGUUUUCGCGGAGUCACUGUUGGGAUACCACCCUUGUAUCAUUGAAUUUCUAACCCGUGGCCGUAAGCCGGUCAGGGGACAAUGUCAGAUGGGGAGUUUGACUGGGGCGGUCGCCUCCGAAAGAGUAUCGGAGGCGCUCAAAGGUUCCCUCAGAAUGGUUGGAAACCAUUUAAAGAGUGCAAAGGCAUAAGGGAGCUUGACUGCGACACUGACGGGUGGAGCAGGUACGAAAGUAGGACUUAGUGAUCCGGUGGUAUGAAAGUGGGAUUGCCAUCGCUCAACGGAUAAAAGCUACCCUGGGGAUAACAGGCUUAUCACUCCCAAGAGUUCACAUCGACGGAGUGGUUUGGCACCUCGAUGUCGGCUCAUCGCAUCCUGGGGCUGAAGUCGGUCCCAAGGGUUGGGCUGUUCGCCCAUUAAAGCGGUACGCGAGCUGGGUUCAGAACGUCGUGAGACAGUUCGGUCCCUAUCCGGCGUGGGCGUAAGAUAUUUGAGAGGAGCUGUCCUUAGUACGAGAGGACCGGGAUGGACUGACCACUGGUGUACCUGUUGGGUAGCAGACCCACGGCAGGGUAGCCAAGUCGGGAACGGAUAAACGCUGAAGGCAUCUAAGCGUGAAGCCGACCUCAAGAUGAGAUAUCUCAUGCGAAAGCAGUAAGACCCCUUAAAGACAAUGAGGUAGAUAGGGCUAAGGUGUAAGUGCAGAAAUGCAUUAAGCUGAUAGUUACUAAUCGGUCGAGGGUUUAACCAA